rnacentral:rRNA from 1 species
CCUACGGGUGGCUGCAGUGGGGAAUAUUGGACAAUGGGCGCAAGCCUGAUCCAGCCAUGCCGCGUGAGUGAUGAAGGCCUUCGGGUCGUAAAGCUCUGUGGGGAGGGAAGAACCGGUGCAGCAUCAGAUCCUGCACUCUGACGGUACCUCCUUAGCAAGCACCGGCUAACUCCGUGCCAGCAGCCGCGGUAAUACGGAGGGUGCAAACGUUGCUCGGAAUCAUUGGGCGUAAAGCGCACGUAGGCGGACUGGCAAGUUGGGUGUGAAAUCCCUCA